rnacentral:rRNA from 1 species
CCUACGGGAGGCAGCAGUCGGGAAUAUUGCGCAAUGGGCGAAAGCCUGACGCAGCCAUGCCGCGUGUGUGAAGAAGGCCCUAGGGUUGUAAAGCACUUUCAAUUGGGAGGAAAAGCUAAUGGUUAAUAACCAUUAGCCCUGACGUUACCUUUAGAAGAAGCACCGGCUAACUCCGUGCCAGCAGCCGCGGUAAUACGGAGGGUGCAAGCGUUAAUCGGAAUUACUGGGCGUAAAGCGCGCGUAGGCGGUUUUUUAAGUCGGAUGUGAAAGCCCCGGGCUCAACCUGGGAACUGCAUCCGAUACUGGAUCACUAGAAUGCGGGAGAGGGAGGUAGAAUUCCAUGUGUAGCAGUGAAAUGCGUAGAUAUAUGGAGGAAUACCAGUGGCGAAGGCGGCCUCCUGGCUCGACAUUGACGCUGAGGUGCGAAAGCGUGGGGAGCAAACGGGAUUAGAUACCCCGGUAGUCCACGCCGUAAACGAUGUCUACUAGCUGUAGGGGUACUUGAGACCUUUGUAGCGCAGCUAACGCAAUAAGUAGACCGCCUGGGGAGUACGGCCGCAAGGUUAAAACUCAAAUGAAUUGACGGA